rnacentral:rRNA from 1 species
CGCGUAGGUGGUUAGGUAAGCGAGAUGUGAAAGCCCGGGCUUAACCUGGGAACGGCAUUUCGAACUGUCUGACUAGAGUAUGGUAGAGGGUAGUGGAAUUUCCUGUGUAGCGGUGAAAUGCGUAGAUAUAGGAAGGAACACCAGUGGCGAAGGCGGCUACCUGGACCAAUACUGACACUGAGGUGCGAAAGCGUGGGGAGCAAACA